UUCCGGUUGAUCCUGCCGGACCCCACUGCUAUCGAGAUGGGACUAAGGUAUGCUAGUCGAACGACCAGAACUAUGUCUGGGAGUGGCACACUGCUCAGUAACACGUAGCUAACCUACCCUUAGGACGUGGAUACCCCCGAGAAAUUGGGGUUAAUCCGCGAUAGAUGUAAUGUCCUGGAAUGGUAUUACGUCUAAAGGUAUUUCAUACAUGUUUGAAAUAUGCCUAAGGAUGGGGCUGCGGCCGAUCAGGCUGUUGGUGAGGUAAUGGCUCACCAAACCUUUGACCGGUACGGGCCAUGAGAGUGGUAGCCCGGAGAUGGACACUGAGACAAGGGUCCAGGCCCUAAGGGGCGCAGCAACCGCGAAACCUCCACAAUGCACUCACGUGCGAUGGGGCUAUCUCGAGUGCCACCUGAUGAAGGUGGCUUUUCCUUGGUCUUCAAAGCCUUGGGAAUAAGAGGGGGGCAAGACUGGUGUCAGCCGCCGCGGUAACACCAGCCCCUCGAGUGGUGGGGAUGAUUAUUUGGCCUAAAGCGUCCGUAGCCGGCCGUGAAAGUCUUCCGUUAAAUCCAGCGUCUCAAGCGUUGGACCGCGGGAGAUACUACAUGGCUAGAGAGUGGGAGAGGUCAGCGGUAUUCUGGGGGUAGGGGCGAAAUCCUUUGAUCCCCGGAGGACCACCAGUGGCGAAGGCUGCUGACUAGAACACGUCUGACGGUCAGGGACGAAAGCUGGGGUAGCGAACCGGAUUAGAUACCCGGGUAGUCCCAGCCGUAAACGAUGCAUGCUAGGUGUUGGGUUGGCCACGAGCCACCCC
rnacentral:rRNA from 1 species